GUGGAUUAGAUACCCUGGUAGUCCACGCCCUAAACGAUGUCUACUAGUUGUCGGGUUUUAAUUAACUUGGUAACGCAGCUAACGCGUGAAGUAGACCGCCUGGGGAGUACGGUCGCAAGAUUAAAACUCAAAGGAAUUGACGGGGACCCGCACAAGCGGUGGAUGAUGUGGAUUAAUUCGAUGCAACGCGAAAAACCUUACCUACCCUUGACAUGGAAGGAAUCCUCGAGAGAUUGAGGAGUGCCCGAAAGGGAACCUUCACACAGGUGCUGCACGGUCGUCGACAACU
rnacentral:rRNA from 1 species